rnacentral:rRNA from 1 species
CACGUAGGGGGCGAGCGUUGUCCGGGAUUUAUUGGGCGUAAAGAGCUCGUAGGCGGCUCGGUAAGUCAGGUGUGAAACCUCCAGGCUCAACCUGGAGACGCCACCUGAUACUGCCGUGGCUAGAGUCCGGUAGAGGAGCGUAGAAUUCCUGGUGUAGCGGUGAAAUGCGCAGAUAUCAGGAGGAAUACCAGCGGCGAAGCGGUUCGUCUGGGACGGUACUGACGCUGAGACGCGAAAGCGUGGGGGAGCGAACAGG